CCGCCUCCCCACCGAUGCAUUCCGAACGGCUCCGCUGCCGAAUGGUUUGUAUCCAACCGAUUGACAACGACCCGGCUGCGCCGGGUCAAGCCGGAAGAAGAUUGACGCCAUGCAGGUUACCGAGACCCUCGCCGAGGGAUUGAAGCACGAGUUCAAGGUCAGCGUUCCCGCGUCGGAUAUCGAUGCCAAGGUGGAUGCCCGUCUUGUCGACAUGAAGGA
rnacentral:misc_RNA from 1 species